rnacentral:rRNA from 1 species
GACGAACCGUGCGAACGUUGUUCGUAAUCACUGGGCUUAAAGGGCGCGUAGGCGGCAUAGCAAGUCCGGGGUGAAAGCCCCCGGCUCAACCGGGGAAGUGCCUUGGAAACUGCUGUGCUUGAGGGAGGUAGGGGUCGAGGGAACUUCUGGUGGAGCGGUGAAAUGCGUUGAUAUCAGGAGGAACACCGGUGGCGAAGGCGGGUCUCUGGGCCGUAACUGACGCUGAGGAGCGAAAGCAUGGGGAGCGAGCAGG